GGAAAACUAGUUAAAUAAUAACAAAAGAAUGUCAGUCUUCAAUUACCUAAAGUGUUUUCUU
rnacentral:tRNA from 1 species